GUUCACUCAGCAUUAAUGUCCUCAUCUAUCAAGCAGUUGGAUGAGACCAGGGGCCAGCAACCUUUUACUGGAAACGGCCAGAUUUUCCCUGGUGAGAAAAGCAUACCCUACAUCAUAGAAAAGUCUCUGUUCAAAAGGACUCAAAGACAAGAAAUGAUGCUCAAACAAGAAGGUACCAGGUACCUGUGGGUGCUGGAGAUUCCACUGAGAACAAGGAUGGGAGUCAUUGUUCCACGAAGCUUACAUUUCAGAGGGCCAAGAAGAUAGAAGACACUAUAUGAAUACAUGAAUUAUUUAUUUUCAAAUACUAUUGUAUUCUGUAAAGAAAGUAAAUGAAGACUACGUCAUAAAGACUGACUUUGGAUUUGUCAAAUAACCAUAGACUUAUUCACUGUUCAUUGUCAUAGAAUGACAUUGAACUUAUUCCAGCUAAUUUCCAGAUCUCAAGGCUGAAUAGUAAAAUCCAGUGUUCGGGAUGAUUGUCUAGAGAAGCUGAAAUAUUACAUUAUAUUCCCUAUCCUCAUUUUUGAGAAAGAAGGGAGUAAAAAUAGGCAGGAGAGAGGAAAAAAGGAGGAAGGGAAAGAUUAAGAAACUAUGUUCUAGAAAAACAUUUUACAGGGUAGAGAAAAUCUCAUCAACCAAAGCAUGCCCCUACUAAAGAAUUCCAGCUAGUCAAAAAUUCACUGUCCAUAUUAAAGCUGUGUCUUAUUGCUUUGACUAUUUAGCUAGAAAAACUAGGAAAUAGUGUUUAU